UGAAUGAGUAUAAUAAUUCACUUUCGUGAAUGAGUAUAAAGAUAUGGAGGAUAUACAUACAUACAGUGACGCACUUGAUUAUUUGUAGAGUAAGCUUUUCACCUUUAUAGAAACUUCGAAAAUUUGAAUUCUAAUAUAGAAAAUUUUGUAAUAAUUGAGCAUAUUUUUUGGCUUUGCUUAAUAAUGACACCUAAGUUAAACAUCGGUAGCUCAGAGGAAAACUAUCUUGCAUUUCCAAGAUCAACGCAAAUUUUAUGCAGAAAUUGGAGAGAUAAUCGAAAGAAGCCGAUUCACUAUUCGAAGCACCUGCAGCACUUCAACCUGCAACCUGCAAAGUCCAAAACAUACAGAUCGUCAAAAGUUGUUGAACAGCCAUGAAUGCAGGAAAAUCGUUAGAAAGGGCAGGAUGUGCACCCAAUUACGAUACACCGAAUACUGCACAAGGCCGAAUACAGACGAAACCCGUGCAUCACAGAUGGUAAUAAAAACAAGCGUUUGGACUAAGGGAUAUGUUAGCAAGCCAUCUGAUUACUGGACUCAUGUGUUGUGCUGUGAUGAGUGGAAAUUCAAUAUAUUUCGAUCGGAUGGACUCCAAUCGGUUUGAAGAAAGCCGAAUAAUGCAUUUGACAAAAACAAUAUUAAGCCAAGAGUUAAGCAUACUGGUUUUGGGGUGAUGGUCUGGGACAGGGCUGUCAUUUCAGCUUUUUUCCCGUCAGAUCUGGCUUUAUUUGAAGUCCAAUUGCGGGAAAAAUUCGAAAACGGCGGGCUGCGGGAAUUCUGGCUAUAAAUAAAUUAAUUUAGCUCUAUUUUAGCUUUAUUUAA